ACGAGUUGCAAAACUCCCCUAAACCAUCGCGAACGAACCCCUGAACAGUUGCUUCGGCGGGCUGGCCUCCCUGAAGGGGCCGCCACAGGGCCCGCCGGAGGUAUCCUAAACCAUUUUUGUCUUCUGCAGGCCUCUCUGAGUCUUCGUACUUGAAUAAGUCA
rnacentral:misc_RNA from 1 species